UUUGAAUAAAACUAUUUUAUUUCUAAAAAAUUCCUUAGAUCAAUAAUGUCUCAUCCAUUUUCAUGUUAGGACAGUCCUGAAAGGACUCCAAAUCCGUUCUUCCCUCCUCCCCGACCAAUUCAUCCUCCCCACUGCUGCUUCAGUCAUUCUUUCUUUCUUUUUUCUUUUUCUUUUUUUUUCCAGACGGAGUCUCGCUCUUUCA
rnacentral:lncRNA from 10 species